AAAUUGAAGAGUUUGAUCAUGGCUCAGAUUGAACGCUGGCGGCAGGCCUAACACAUGCAAGUCGAGCGGAAACGACACUAACAAUCCUUCGGGUGCGUUAAUGGGCGUCGAGCGGCGGACGGGUGAGUAAUGCCUAGGAAAUUGCCUUGAUGUGGGGGAUAACCAUUGGAAACGAUGGCUAAUACCGCAUAAUGCCUACGGGCCAAAGAGGGGGACCUUCGGGCCUCUCGCGUCAAGAUAUGCCUAGGUGGGAUUAGCUAGUUGGUGAGGUAAUGGCUCACCAAGGCGACGAUCCCUAGCUGGUCUGAGAGGAUGAUCAGCCACACUGGAACUGAGACACGGUCCAGACUCCUACGGGAGGCAGCAGUGGGGAAUAUUGCACAAUGGGCGAAAGCCUGAUGCAGCCAUGCCGCGUGUAUGAAGAAGGCCUUCGGGUUGUAAAGUACUUUCAGUUGUGAGGAAGGGGGUAGCGUUAAUAGCGCUAUCUCUUGACGUUAGCAACAGAAGAAGCACCGGCUAACUCCGUGCCAGCAGCCGCGGUAAUACGGAGGGUGCGAGCGUUAAUC
rnacentral:rRNA from 1 species